AAUAUCUUGGUUAAGGGAUAUCAAAAUUUUUAUAACGAGCACUUAAUAAAAACCUUGGUGAAAAAUUUUGGACGCCGCGCUGCGAAAAGUUAUAAGGAGGCAUAGGCCUGUGAUCUAUAAAUUUCCAUAGUUUAAGAGUAAACUCACAAAAAAAUAACUUUAAAAAUAGUGUGAAUUGAAUCAUCUAAGUAACACUAAUUUAAAAUCAAUCGAGAAUUCGCUAGUAAUGGUGAACGAACGCGAAUGAAAGCUUAGUAAAAAGUAUAGAUUUACAAUUUACUGAAAAAGGUAUAAGUCCUGUAUUGAUGAAAACUUUUUAAUAAAACUUUUAAGUAAUACGAAUUUUAAUUUGUAUGAAUAAAGGAGAACCACCUUCUAAGCUUAAAAAAUUUUUCAACCUAUAGUGAAUGAGUACCGUGAGGGAAAGGUAAAGACGUUCAAAAAGAACAAUUUGAGUUAGGUGUUUAAAAGUUUUCGAAGUGUAUAACGACGAAGUGCCUUUUGCAUAAUGAAUCAGCAAGUUAAUAUACGUUGCAAGCUUAAUUAUUAAUAAACAGGCAUUAAAAGUAAUGUGUAUUAAACCUGAAACCAGGUGAUCUAGUUGUGAGCAGGUUGAAGAUACUUUAAAAUGUUUUUGAGGACCGAACUCGUAUAUGUAGCAAAAUAUAGAGAUGACUUAUAGCUAGGAGCGAAAGACUAAUCAAACCUGGAGAUAGCCGGUUUUUCACGAAAUGUAUUUUAGUACUACGUUAAUUAUUUUGAAUCUUAAGUUAGAGUACAAAAAAAAUAAAGGGAUGUAAAAGUUUACUGAGUUUUUUUUAACUCCGAAUUAAAGCAUCAAAGAAUUAGCAGACAGUCUAUGAGCGAUAAGGUUUAUAGACGAAAGGAAAACAAUCCAGAUCGAAUACUAAGAUUUCUAAAUUAAAACUUAGGGAAGAAAAUUAAAUAAAGUACAAAUAACAACUUUGCUAGGCUUAGAAGCAGCCUUUCAUUAGAGAAAGCGUUUUAGCUCAUUAUUUUUCUUUCUUUAAUUUAAAAUUUAAAGAAACUUUAAGUUUUAUAUCGAAGUAGCGGAUUAAUACAUAUAUAUUAUGUUUAAUGGUAGUGAAACGUUCUGUAAACUUUUUCUGAUUGUAAAAUUUUUAAAAUUAACAGAAGUGCUAAUGCUGAUAUGAGUAGCGAAAAUUACGUUAAAAAAUCGUAAUCGCUUAAAGUUUAAGGGUUUCAACGUAAUUUCGAAUACGUUGAGUUAGUCGGUCCUUAAGAGGUGAAUGAAAAUUGUACUCGAUAGGAAUUAAUAGAAAAUUCUAAACUUUUUAUAUGUGUUUUAAAAAACAUGAAAAAAAUAGAACAAAUAUUUUUAUAAGUAGUUAAGGCAAAAAAACUAAUUUGAACUAUUUUCGAGAAAAAAUUAUAAUAAUAGCAAACCGUACUUAAACCGACACAGGUAACUUAAUUAAAAAAAUUAAAAGUGAAUGAAAGAAUUAUAUUGAAGGAACUCGGCAAAUUAACUCUGUAUGUUCGCUAGAAAGAGAGCCCUAUUUAAGGGUAGCAUAAAAUAAGAAGUAACGACUGGUUAACAAAACCACAGGACUCUGCAAAUUUGUAAAAAAAAGUAUAGGGUCUGAAGCCUGCCCAGUGCUUAAAAAUAAAAAAUUUAGGUUAAAAAGCCUACUUUUUAAAUCUAAGUAAACGGCGGUUCUAACUAUAAGAAUCCUUAGGUAGCGAAAUUCCUUGGCGGGUAAAUUCCGUCCUGCAUGAAUGGCGUAACGAUUACUUCACUGUCUCCAAUAUAACUUCAGCGAAAUUACAUUAUCUAUGAAAAUGUAGAUUACUUACAGUAAGACGGAAAGACCCUAGAUCCUUUACUUUAAUUUUAAAUUGUAAAAUAUUGUUAAAUUGUAAAGAAAAGGUGGGAAUGAUUUUUCAUAUCUAUGAAAUACCACUCGUUAAACUUAAUUUUUUACUUGAUUUAUAUAAUAAUAUUAUAAAGACCGUUUAAAAGAGAAAGUUUACUUGGGACGAGUACCUCCUAAAUAGUAACGGAGGUGUACGAAAGUAAGUUGCAAUUAUUUUAUACAAAUAAUGAAGAACAUAAUGGUAAAAACUUGCUUGACAAUAAGAUUCAUAAAUCAAAUUGGGACGAAAGUCAGUCAUAGUGACCCGAUAUUUAAGUGUGGAAUUAAUAUCGUUUAACAGAUAAAAGGAACUCUAGGGAUAACAGAUUCAUCGUGACUAAGAGUUCAUAUUGACGUCACGGUUUGAUACCUCGAUGUCGACUCAUCUUAUCCUGGAAUUGAAGUAGAUUUCAAGGGUCUAGUUGUUCGCUAGUGAAAAAGGUACGUGAGUUGGGUUCAGAACGUCGUGAGACAGUUCGGUCCCUAUCUACUGUAAGAAAAGAAAAAUACAAAGUGUAUUCUUAGUACGAGAGGACCAGAAUACGCUAACCUCUGAUGAAUUGAUUGUUAUGCCAAUAGCAUAGUCAAGUAGUUAAGUUAGUUUUUAAUAAAUACUGAAUGCAUCAAGUGUAUUAAGUAUUCUUUUUAUAUUUUUCAAGAAUAGUCUAAAAGACCAUUAGAUAGAUCGGUUUGAAAAUAGUCUUUAGUAAUAAGUAACUUAAAAGUUUUUAACAAAUCCGAAUUAUUCAGAAAAAUU
rnacentral:rRNA from 1 species